GAGGGUAUAGCUCAGUGGUAGAGUGUGUGCUUAGCAUGCAUGAGAUCCAGGUUCAAUCCCCAGUGCCUCCA
rnacentral:tRNA from 1 species